CCUACGGGUGGCAGCAGUGGGGGAUAUUGCACAAUGGGGGAAACCCUGAUGCAGCGACGCCGCGUGGGUGAAGAAGUAUUUCGGUAUGUAAAGCCCUAUCAGCAGGGAAGAAAGAAGACGGUACCUGACUAAGAAGCCCCGGCUAACUACGUGCCAGCAGCCGCGGUAAUACGUAGGGGGCGAGCGUUAUCCGGAUGCACUGGGUGUAAAGGGAGCGUAGACGGCCGUGCAAGCCAGGAGUGAAAGCCCGGGGCCCAACCCCGGGACUGCUCUUGGAACUGUGCGGCUGGAGUGCGGGAGGGGCAGGCGGAAUUCCUGGUGUAGCGGUGAAAUGCGUAGAUAUCAGGAGGAACACCGGCGGCGAAGGCGGCCUGCUGGACCGCGACUGACGUUGAGGCUCGAAAGCGUGGGGAGCGAACAGGAUUAGAUACCCGAGUAGUC
rnacentral:rRNA from 1 species